rnacentral:rRNA from 1 species
GAUGAACGCUGGCGGCGUGCCUAAUACAUGCAAGUCGAGCGAACAGACGAGGAGCUUGCUCCUCUGACGUUAGCGGCGGACGGGUGAGUAACACGUGGAUAACCUACCUAUAAGACUGGGAUAACUUCGGGAAACCGGAGCUAAUACCGGAUAAUGUAUUGAACCGCAUGGUUCAAUAGUGAAAGACGGUUUUGCUGUCACUUAUAGAUGGAUCCGCGCCGCAUUAGCUAGUUGGUAAGGUAACGGCUUACCAAGGCAACGAUGCGUAGCCGACCUGAGAGGGUGAUCGGCCACACUGGAACUGAGACACGGUCCAGACUCCUACGGGAGGCAGCAGUAGGGAAUCUUCCGCAAUGGGCGAAAGCCUGACGGAGCAACGCCGCGUGAGUGAUGAAGGUCUUCGGAUCGUAAAACUCUGUUAUUAGGGAAGAACAAAUGUGUAAGUAACUAUGCACGUCUUGACGGUACCUAAUCAGAAAGCCACGGCUAACUACGUG